AAAAAAAAAAAAAAAUGCACAUACAGUGUGAUAAGUCAUUUUUUAUUGAGAACAGUAAUAAUUUAUUAUGUCCCAUAGAUUGUCCUUUUAUCAGUUUUAAUGAUGUUUGGAAAUGUUUUGGUGUUUGUACUACUAAAGAACAAUGCUCCUUAUAUAAUCCGCUACUUAAUUAUGCAGAUGAAGAAACUAAGAGAUGUUUACCAUGCUUAAUUACUGGUUGUAUUAAAUGUAUUAAAAGUGAUGAAAAAAGUAGAAAUAAAUAUUUUUUUAAUGUUACUAGUAAUUUACCAAAUAUAUGUUUAGAAUGUAUGAAAGGAUAUACGCUAUCUGAUGAUAGGACUAACUGUCGUUUGAUUUACAAAGAAAUAAUACUAAAAUAUUGUAAUAUAUUUUUAGUAUUUAGUUUUUUAUUUAUUAUAUUUUGUAUAAUUUAUUAUUAUAAAAAUUCAAACAAAACUAACUUUUUAUUAUUAAAAUGGGUUUUUCAACAUAGAUCUUUAUCAAAAUUUCGAAAUCCCCAAACGAAAAGAAAUUCUUUAUAUCCUUUAAAAUUAGAACUAAGUAAAGAAGAUAUUGGUGGAGUAGGAAUAAUGUUAUAUUUUCGUUUUAUACAUUUUUUAUGUUAUUUAUGUAUAUUUUUAAUUAUUAUUAAUUUAUUCGAAUUAUAUUUACCUCUUAACUAUCUUAUACAGACUUAUCGUAAUAUUGAAACUAUUACUACUUUUGAAAAAAAUUGUUAUAAUUUAAAAAAAUAUAUUUCACAAAAUAUAUCUAAAUUAAUUGAGCUUAAUUCUUUAGAUUGGAUAACGUUAGAUAUUUUUAAUAUGGUAAUCAAGUAUAAAGAAAAUGCUAUUAUUGUUUCAUUUUUUAAAUAUAUUUUUUGUAUGAUUAUUACUUUUGUAUUUAUUUAUAAACAAAAAAAAUUUAGUUAUUAUAAAUUAAAUGAUUCUAAUCAAUUACAAAAAUAUUCAUUAGUUGUAUAUGAUCUACCAAAUAAAAUUUCUGAACAUAAAAUAAAGAAUUUUUUUGAAAAACUAAUUAAAAAAAAAAUUGUUGGUAUAUCACCUAUAUAUGAUUUUUCACAUAAUAAAAAUAAAGUGUUUGAUUUAAUAGAUCAACAUAUAGAUUGGCAAGAUUUUAAAUUAAAAAUAAAUAAAGUUUUGGAUUUGUACAAAGAACAUAAGUUGCAAGUAAAUAUGUUAAACCAAGAUCUUGAACAAAAAAUAGACACUGUUUAUGAUAAAUAUGUUGAUGUUGUAGGUAAUCAUAACAUGAAUAAGGUAAAUUACGAAAAAGUUGAACAAAAUGGUUAUGACCUUAUUCAUCCUAACAUAUACUAUACUGGUACUUAUACCGGUAGUUAUGUCAAAAAAAAAGUUUUAAAAUUAGUUAUGUAACACAAGAAAAUAACUUAAAAGAAAAUGCAGAUAAUAAGGAUACAUGUUAUGAUAUACUUAGCCCGAGUAAAUAUAACUCACUUCAACUUGGUCAUAUUAAAUUUCCUUAUAUUAAAUCUAAUACAGAAACAGACAAAAACCAACAAAGUAAACAAGAAUGUGUUUUUCCUAUAAAGAGAAAUAUGAGCCACAAAAAAAUAAGUUUUAAAAUACUCAAUGAGAAUGGUUCUGAAAAAAAAGGAGAAAAAGAGAACCUUGUUAGUAAUCCUGUUUUUGAGGGUAGUGGUAGUGACAGUAGUAGUAGUAUCGGUAGCAGUAGUAGUAUCGGUAGCAGUAGUAGUAUCGGUAG
rnacentral:lncRNA from 1 species